rnacentral:rRNA from 1 species
UUAAGCGACUAAGCGUACACGGUGGAUGCCCUGGCAGUCAGAGGCGAUGAAGGACGUGCUAAUCUGCGAUAAGCGUCGGUGAGGUGAUAUGAACCGUUAUAACCGGCGAUUUCCGAAUGGGGAAACCCAGUGUGUUUCGACACACUAUCAUUAACUGAAUCCAUAGGUUAAUGAGGCGAACCGGGGGAACUGAAACAUCUAAGUACCCCGAGGAAAAGAAAUCAACCGAGAUUCCCCCAGUAGCGGCGAGCGAACGGGGAGGAGCCCAGAGCCUGAAUCAGUGUGUGUGUUAGUGGAAGCGUCUGGAAAGGCGCGCGAUACAGGGUGACAGCCCCGUACACAAAAAUGCACAUAUUGUGAGCUCGAUGAGUAGGGCGGGACACGUGGUAUCCUGUCUGAAUAUGGGGGGACCAUCCUCCAAGGCUAAAUACUCCUGACUGACCGAUAGUGAACCAGUACCGUGAGGGAAAGGCGAAAAGAACCCCGGCGAGGGGAGUGAAAAAGAACCUGAAACCGUGUACGUACAAGCAGUGGGAGCCUCUUAAUGGGGUGACUGCGUACCUUUUGUAUAAUGGGUCAGCGACUUAUAUUCUGUAGCAAGGUUAACCGAAUAGGGGAGCCGAAGGGAAACCGAGUCUUAACUGGGCGUUAAGUUGCAGGGUAUAGACCCGAAACCCGGUGAUCUAGCCAUGGGCAGGUUGAAGGUUGGGUAACACUAACUGGAGGACCGAACCGACUAAUGUUGAAAAAAAUAGCGGAUGACUUGUGGCUGGGGGUGAAAGGCCAAUCAAACCGGGAGAUAGCUGGUUCUCCCCGAAAGCUAUUUAGGUAGCGCCUCGUGAAUUCAUCUCCGGGGGUAGAGCACUGUUUCGGCAAGGGGGUCAUCCCGACUUACCAACCCGAUGCAAACUGCGAAUACCGGAGAAUGUUAUCACGGGAGACACACGGCGGGUGCUAACGUCCGUCGUGAAGAGGGAAACAACCCAGACCGCCAGCUAAGGUCCCAAAGUCAUGGUUAAGUGGGAAACGAUGUGGGAAGGCCCAGACAGCCAGGAUGUUGGCUUAGAAGCAGCCAUCAUUUAAAGAAAGCGUAAUAGCUCACUGGUCGAGUCGGCCUGCGCGGAAGAUGUAACGGGGCUAAACCAUGCACCGAAGCUGCGGCAGCGACACUNAUGUGUUGUUGGGUAGGGGAGCGUUCUGUAAGCCUGUGAAGGUGGCCUGUGAGGGUUGCUGGAGGUAUCAGAAGUGCGAAUGCUGACAUAAGUAACGAUAAAGCGGGUGAAAAGCCCGCUCGCCGGAAGACCAAGGGUUCCUGUCCAACGUUAAUCGGGGCAGGGUGAGUCGACCCCUAAGGCGAGGCCGAAAGGCGUAGUCGAUGGGAAACAGGUUAAUAUUCCUGUACUUGGUGUUACUGCGAAGGGGGGACGGAGAAGGCUAUGUUGGCCGGGCGACGGUUGUCCCGGUUUAAGCGUGUAGGCUGGUUUUCCAGGCAAAUCCGGAAAACCAAGGCUGAGGCGUGAUGACGAAGCACUACGGUGCUGAAGCGACAAAUGCCCUGCUUCCAGGAAAAGCCUCUAAGCAUCAGGUAACAUCAAAUCGUACCCCAAACCGACACAGGUGGUCAGGUAGAGAAUACCAAGGCGCUUGAGAGAACUCGGGUGAAGGAACUAGGCAAAAUGGUGCCGUAACUUCGGGAGAAGGCACGCUGAUAUGUAGGUGAAGCGACUUGCUCGUGGAGCUGAAAUCAGUCGAAGAUACCAGCUGGCUGCAACUGUUUAUUAAAAACACAGCACUGUGCAAACACGAAAGUGGACGUAUACGGUGUGACGCCUGCCCGGUGCCGGAAGGUUAAUUGAUGGGGUUAGCGGUAACGCGAAGCUCUUGAUCGAAGCCCCGGUAAACGGCGGCCGUAACUAUAACGGUCCUAAGGUAGCGAAAUUCCUUGUCGGGUAAGUUCCGACCUGCACGAAUGGCGUAAUGAUGGCCAGGCUGUCUCCACCCGAGACUCAGUGAAAUUGAACUCGCUGUGAAGAUGCAGUGUACCCGCGGCAAGACGGAAAGACCCCGUGAACCUUUACUAUAGCUUGACACUGAACAUUGAGCCUUGAUGUGUAGGAUAGGUGGGAGGCUUUGAAGUGUGGACGCCAGUCUGCAUGGAGCCGACCUUGAAAUACCACCCUUUAAUGUUUGAUGUUCUAACGUUGGCCCGUAAUCCGGGUUGCGGACAGUGUCUGGUGGGUAGUUUGACUGGGGCGGUCUCCUCCUAAAGAGUAACGGAGGAGCACGAAGGUUGGCUAAUCCUGGNUCGGACAUCAGGAGGUUAGUGCAAUGGCAUAAGCCAGCUUGACUGCGAGCGUGACGGCGCGAGCAGGUGCGAAAGCAGGUCAUAGUGAUCCGGUGGUUCUGAAUGGAAGGGCCAUCGCUCAACGGAUAAAAGGUACUCCGGGGAUAACAGGCUGAUACCGCCCAAGAGUUCAUAUCGACGGCGGUGUUUGGCACCUCGAUGUCGGCUCAUCACAUCCUGGGGCUGAAGUAGGUCCCAAGGGUAUGGCUGUUCGCCAUUUAAAGUGGUACGCGAGCUGGGUUUAGAACGUCGUGAGACAGUUCGGUCCCUAUCUGCCGUGGGCGCUGGAGAACUGAGGGGGGCUGCUCCUAGUACGAGAGGACCGGAGUGGACGCAUCACUGGUGUUCGGGUUGUCAUGCCAAUGGCACUGCCCGGUAGCUAAAUGCGGAAGAGAUAAGUGCUGAAAGCAUCUAAGCACGAAACUUGCCCCGAGAUGAGUUCUCCCUGAGACUUAGAGUCUCCUGAAGGAACGUUGAAGACGACGACGUUGAUAGGCCGGGUGUGUAAGCGCAGCGAUGCGUUGAGCUAACCGGUACUAAUGAACCGUGAGGCUUAACCU